AAAAUAACACAUUAACCUUACUAUAUUCUUACAUAACAAAUAUAGCCUUCUCGUCUCACAACGUCAAAACUAAAAGAUUCAAAUCGGACAAUAGGCUGGAGGAGGCCAGACUAGAAGCUUUCAG